CAGAGGGCGCGAGCGUUGUCCGGAAUUAUUGGGCGUAAAGCGCGCGCAGGCGGUUCCUUAAGUCUGAUGUGAAAGCCCCCGGCUCAACCGGGGAAGGUCAUUGGAAACUGGGGAACUUGAGUGCAGAAGAGAAGAGCGGAAUUCCACGUGUAGCGGUGAAAUGCGUAGAGAUGUGGAGGAACACCAGUGGCGAAGGCGGCUCUUUGGUCUGUAACUGACGCUGAGGCGCGAAAGCGUGGGGAGCAAACAGGAUUAGAUACCCUGGUAGUCCACGCCGUAAACGAUGAGUGCUAAGUGUUAGAGGGUUUCCGCCCUUUAGUGCUGCAGCUAACGCAUUAAGCACUCCGCCUGGGGAGUACGGCCGCAAGGCUG
rnacentral:rRNA from 1 species